rnacentral:rRNA from 1 species
UACAGAGGUCCCAAGCGUUGUUCGGAUUCACUGGGCGUAAAGGGUGCGUAGGCGGUCGGGUAAGUCUGGCGUGAAAUCUCCAAGCCUAACUUGGAAACUGCGUUGGAUACUAUCCGGCUCGAGGAAUGGAGGGGAGACUGGAAUACUUGGUGUGGCAGUGAAAUGCGUAGAUAUCAAGUGGAACACCAGUGGCGAAGGCGAGUCUCUGGACAUUUCCUGACGCUGAGGCACGAAAGCCAGGGGAGCAAACGGG